AUGACAGAUGAGCAGAGAUAUGCUGGCUACAUGGCACUACAUACCUUGCAUCUGGCUAGGGGUGGCAAGUUCAAAAGAAAUGACAGGAAGGAUGUUUCUCAAAAUUUUCAAGUUGGUGUUCAACAUAUUCGAAAAAUCUGGACGAUAGCAGAGCGACAAAAAGCGCUUGGUCAAGAGGUGGAUGUAUCUAGCGGAAGGAAACGAAGAUGCGGGAGGAAAGGAAAGGAUGAUACUCUAUCCCAAAUCCCCACAGUUCCUUUGAAUAGAAGGUCGACUCUCAGGUCACUUGCUCGCCAAUUGGGUGUCAGUCAUAUUACACUCUACAAGAAACUCAAGCUUCGCAAGAUUAGAAGGCACUCCAAUCGUUUGUAUGAUUACAUUUUCUGA
rnacentral:rRNA from 1 species